UCUGGGAUAAGCCUGGGAAACUGGGUCUAAUACCGGAUAGGAGCGUCCACCGCAUGGUGGGUGUUGGAAAGAUUUAUCGGUUUUGGAUGGACUCGCGGCCUAUCAGCUUGUUGGUGAGGUAAUGGCUCACCAAGGCGACGACGGGUAGCCGGCCUGAGAGGGUGACCGGCCACACUGGGACUGAGACACGGCCCAGACUCCUACGGGAGGCAGCAGUGGGGAAUAUUGCACAAUGGGCGAAAGCCUGAUGCAGCGACGCCGCGUGAGGGAUGACGGCCUUCGGGUUGUAAACCUCUUUCAGUAGGGAAGAAGCGAAAGUGACGGUACCUGCAGAAGAAGCACCGGCUAACUACGUGCCAGCAGCCGCGGUAAUACGUAGGGUGCGAGCGUUAUCCGGAAUUAUUGGGCGUAAAGAGCUCGUAGGCGGUUUGUCGCGUCUGUCGUGAAAGUCCGGGGCUUAACCCCGGAUCUGCGGUGGGUACGGGCAGACUAGAGUGCAGUAGGGGAGACUGGAAUUCCUGGUGUAGCGGUGGAAUGCGCAGAUAUCAGGAGGAACACCGAUGGCGAAGGCAGGUCUCUGGGCUGUAACUGACGCUGAGGAGCGAAAGCAUGGGGAGCGAACAGGAUUAGAUACCCUGGUAGUCCAUGCCGUAAACGUUGGGCACUAGGUGUGGGGACCAUUCCACGGUUUCCGCGCCGCAGCUAACGCAUUAAGUGCCCCGCCUGGGGAGUACGGCCGCAAGGCUAAAACUCAAAGGAAUUGACGGGGGCCCGCACAAGCGGCGGAGCAUGCGGAUUAAUUCGAUGCAACGCGAAGAACCUUACCAAGGCUUGACAUGUUCUCGAUCGCCGUAGAGAUACGGUUUCCCCUUUGGGGCGGGUUCACAGGUGGUGCAUGGUUGUCGUCAGCUCGUGUCGUGAGAUGUUGGGUUAAGUCCCGCAACGAGCGCAACCCUCGUUCCAUGUUGCCAGCACGUAAUGGUGGGGACUCAUGGGAGACUGCCGGGGUCAACUCGGAGGAAGGUGAGGACGACGUCAAAUCAUCAUGCCCCUUAUGUCUUGGGCUUCACGCAUGCUACAAUGGCCGGUACAAUGGGUUGCGAUACUGUGAGGUGGAGCUAAUCCCAAAAAGCCGGUCUCAGUUCGGAUUGGGGUCUGCAACUCGACCCCAUGAAGUCG
rnacentral:rRNA from 1 species